rnacentral:lncRNA from 1 species
CAUCAAGAGGAGCUACGUGGCCCUCUGUGUCUGGGAAAGAACCUAGGAUUCCUCCAUCAAUGCUGUGCCCAGUCAAGCAACAGAAUUCCUCUGUGCUUCCUUCUGGAGACGCGAUGACAGCACUCUCUGCCCUGUGGGUCACCUGUCCUUAUCGGGAGAGAGGUAAUAAAGGGUGAACAGAUAUUCAUCCACAUCAAAGGAGAGAUCUGAAGCCUACAUCAUGACUUAAGAAUGGAACAACGCCUUCCGCCUUAUAAUUUUGAGAAUUGUUACUGAAAGACUGUUUGGAGUUUCUGUUCUUGGCAACACUGUGAUGCCCAAGACACCUGAGGCCAACGUUUGCAUGUUCCAUUUCAGGCCAGUUGAGCAAGAACCAAGCAACCUCACUUGGUCUACAACUGAUAUCUUACUUUUUGCCUUGGCCGACAAGUCUCAAGAUGUGAAUGAAGCUUCUAGCAAACGGUUGUCUCUCUCACCAAAUGAGUCUGUAAAGGAAAAAGAAAGGAAAAGAACGUGCAUUUGAAUUCAAGAUCAACUGACUAUCCCCUUUCUUCCUCUCAAAGCUACAUAAAACCUUGAAAACAUACUAUAAGAAUUUUAAAGAAAGGCCAAGCUGACGAACAUCAGUGAGGAUGCAGGAGAUCAUAAUGAAGCGGGGUAAGAGAGAAAGCUACGUCGCUGGAGGACAUAAUCCCAUGAAAAACGAGGAGCGAGAGCCGUUCUCACGUUGCAAUUCAGCAAGUGUGGAUAGUUGGGAUGCAUCUGUAUUUUUAAAAAAUUACUUUUAAGGU